CAGGUGCUGCAUGGCCGUCGUCAGCUCGUGCCGUGAGGUGUUGGGUUAAGUCCCGCAACGAGCGCAACCCCGCCGUUAGUUGCCAGCGGUUCGGCCGGGCACUCGUAACGGGACUGCCCGCGAAAAGCGGGAGGAAGAGGGGACGACGUCUGGUCAGCAUGGCCCUUACGGCCUGGGCGACACACGUGCUACAAUGCCCACUACAAAGCGAUGCCACCCGGCAACGGGGAGCUAAUCGCAAAAAGGUGGGCCCAGUUCGGAUUGGGGUCUGCAACCCGACCCCAUGAAGCCGGAAUCGCUAGUAAUCGCGGAUCAGCCAUGCCGCGGUGAAUACGUUCCCGGGCCUU
rnacentral:rRNA from 1 species